UGGGUCCAACCUGCCCAGUGAACUUUUAACGGCCGCAGUACCCUGACUGUGCAAAGGUAGCAUAAUAAUUUGUCUUAUAAUUGAAGACUAGAAUGAACGGUUAGAUGUAAAUAAAACUGUCUCUCAUGCAAAACUAAAAAUUAAUUUGUUGGUUCAAAAGCCAACAUUUAAUAAAUAGACGAGAAGACCCUAUUGAGCUUAAUUUUUAUUUAUGUUUAAUUAAUUUAUUUAUAAUAAUAAAAUUUUGUUGGGGCGACAAAGGAAUUUACUUAACUUCCUUUAAAAUUUCAAUACCAAAAUUAAAUUGAUCCGUUUAUUACGAUAAAAUAACAAGUUACCAUAGGGAUAACAGCAUAAUUCUUUUUAAGAGCCCAAAUCGAAAAAAGAGUUUGUGACCUCGAUGUUGGACUAAGGUAAUUAUAGAGCGCAACCGCUUUUUAAAAUAGUCUGNUCGACUAAUAA
rnacentral:rRNA from 1 species